rnacentral:rRNA from 1 species
CCUACGGGGGGCAGCAGUCGGGAAUAUUGCGCAAUGGAGGAAACUCUGACGCAGUGACGCCGCGUAUAGGAAGAAGGUUUUCGGAUUGUAAACUAUUGUCGUUAGGGAAGAUAAAAGACAGUACCUAAGGAGGAAGCUCCGGCUAACUACGUGCCAGCAGCCGCGGUAAUACGGAGGAUGCGAGCGUUAUCCGGAUUUAUUGGGCUUAAAGGGUGCGCAGGCGGCCCGUUAAGUCAGCGGUAAAAGCCCGGGGCUCAACCCCGGCGAGCCGUUGAAACUGGCGGGCUGGAGUUGGGGAGAAGUAG